CAGUAGCCGCGGUAAUACGUAGGUGGCAAGCGUUGUCCGGAAUUAUUGGGCGUAAAGGGCUCGCAGGCGGUUUCUUAAGUCUGAUGUGAAAGCCCCCGGCUCAACCGGGGAGGGUCAUUGGAAACUGGGAAACUUGAGUGCAGAAGAGGAGAGUGGAAUUCCACGUGUAGCGGUGAAAUGCGUAGAGACGUGGAGGAACACCAGUGGCGAAGGCGACUCUCUGGUCUGUAACUGACGCUGAGGAGCGAAAGCGUGGGGAGCGAACAGGAUUAGAUACCCGCGUAGUCCCUGUCUCUUAUAC
rnacentral:rRNA from 1 species